CCUACGGGCGGCAGCAGUGGGGAAUAUUGCACAAUGGAGGGAACUCUGAUGCAGCGACGCCGCGUGAGUGAAGAAGUAAUUCGUUAUGUAAAGCGCUAUCAGCAGGGAAGAAAGUGACGGUACCUGAAAAAGAAGAUCCGGCUAAAUACGUGCCAGCAGCCGCGGUAAUACAUUUGGAGCAAGCGUUAUCCGGAUUUACUGGGGAGAAAGGGAUAGUAGGUGGCAGAGCAAGUCCGAAGUGAAAACCCAAAGGUCAACUAUGGGAAUGCUUUAGAAACUGCUCAGCUAGAGUGCAAGAGAGGCAAGUGGAAUUCUAAGUGUAGCGGUGAAAUGCGUAGAUAUUAGGAAGAACACCAGAGGCGAAGGCAGCUUGCUGGACUGUAACUGACGCUGAGGCUCGAAAGCGUGGGGAGCAAACAGGAUUAGAUACCCUUGUAGUC
rnacentral:rRNA from 1 species